AAUACCCCUGGUCAACAAGCUAGUCAAUUUUCACGUAAACGAAGCCUACAGACCCAUUUCUGUCAUUUGACCUGUCAGACCAUUUUCCCAUAUUUACCGGAGCGCCCCUGGCUGGCUUCUGUUCUGCUCUGGCGUUCCCCCACACAGUUUUGCACAGUAGAGAGAGAGAGGAGGACAGAGAGAGAAAGAGGGGAGCCGCAGAGGCGCACUGCCACCACCGCGCACGUUAGCUGUCCCCCGCAAUGAUUACGCCUAACUGAACCCCCGAAGCUCUCCUUCCAUGCAUUUAAAUCGGCGCUGUUGCUUAACCUACGCACUCUGACAGUACUCGCAUUAAUUGGAUCUGCAGCGAUACUCGCCACACUCCUCUGCACUGCUGCCGCGUUACGACCUAUUAUGCUUGCACUCUACCGAUUUGCAGAUCCGUGACUGUUCGAUUUGUGGUAUUGCGCUUUUCCUUUCCUGGGGGUGGUCGGCAUAUGGUGGUGUAUUUGAGCUAUUGUGGCUCAAUCGAUCUACGAUCGGGUGUGCAGCUGCGGCGGUGUUGAGGAUCCGAGGCGGUGAUCGGAUCGGGUUCUGCGUAUUGCUGGUUGGAACAGGGAGAUGAAUCCGCUGUGCUGCAUUGCUCCGGUGUCGGUUGAGAAGGAUCGAGCUGUGGUGAAGUCACAAACCCUAAGUCAGGAGCUGGUAUUCGAUAGGAGCUGCGGCGAUGAGAGUGCAGAGUCUUAUAACUGUAGCAAUGUGAUUUUGAGACCUGUGAGUUUUAACUCGAGGAGGAGCUUGUCGACCAAUGGCGGCGGGGGAGGUGCAGUGGAUUCAUUGGCUGAUAAAUGCGAGGAUAAUAAUGAUGAAAUUAAGAGUGUAGUUGGGAUUCUGUAUAAAUGGGUGAAUUACGGCAAGGGUUGGAGGGAGAGAUGGUUCAUGCUGGAAGAUGGGGUGCUGUCGUAUUAUAAGGUACACGGGCCGGAUAAGAUCGUAGUGAGUUCGAGCAGGGAAAAGGGGGUUAGAAUUAUUGGUGAGGAGAGUUGGCGUUAUAUGAGAAAAGGUGGCAGUGGGAAUGGGAGUGGAAGCGGAAAUGGAAACGGGCUUAGGGCGAGUGUGUUCAGUUCAGGGAAGCAGUGGAAACCGUUUGGGGAGAUACAUUUGAAGGUUUCAUCAGUUCGUGCAAGCAAGUCAGAUGACAAAAGACUUUCCAUAUUCACUGGAACCAAAACACUACACCUGCGUUGUCAAUCUCGAGAGGACAGGGCUUCAUGGAUUGAGGCUCUCCUAGUUGCCAAAGACAAAUUCCCAAGAUUAUUGACAAGCAAUGAUUUGGCAACUUCCGAAGAAUUUGUUGUGUCAACAGAGAAGCUACGAUCACGGUUGACACAAGAGGGUGUCAAUGAGACACUUGUUAAAGAUUGUGAGUCAAUAAUGCUAGCUGAACUUUCUCAGAUGCAGAAUCAGAUGAAGAAUCUUCAACUCAAACACAUCUUGCUGCUUGACACUUUAAGAAGGCUGGAGACGGAGAAGAUAGAAUUGGAAACGACAGUAGUGGAUGAAACUAAGGCACGUGAUUCUUGCUGUGGACAAGGAAAUAGAAGAUUCAGUGAUUUCUAUUCAGUAAUGUCUGAGGGCAGUGCAAGUGAUUCAGAUGCUGAUAAUGAAAGCCGAUAUGGUGUAGAUGUUGAAACAGAUGAUGAUGAUGGAACUUUUUUUGACACCAAUGACUUUUUGUCUGCUGAAUCUUUAAGAAGUGCUUCUUAUCGAAGUAGAGAUAAUCCAAUAUAUGGAAAUAAAGAUUUUUCUGUCUCGGGAGAUUUCAGGGAAGCUGGGAUGGAAAUAAAGACAAUCAAAUUUCCAUCUAUCAAAAGAAGGGAUAAUUUACCAGACCCAAAGGAGAAAGAGAAGCCGGUUGGGCUGUGGUCAAUAAUCAAGGACAAUAUUGGCAAGGAUUUGUCUGGGGUUUGCCUUCCUGUAUACUUUAACGAGCCUCUGUCCUCAUUGCAGAAAUGUUUUGAAGACUUGGAGUACUCGCAUCUUGUUGACCAAGCACUUGAAUGGGGAAAACAGGGAAAUGAUUUGAUGAGAAUCUUAAAUGUAGCAGCCUUUGCCGUGUCUGGUUACUCUUCAACAGAAGGACGGCAAUGCAAACCCUUCAAUCCACUUCUUGGGGAAACCUAUGAGGCUGACUAUCCAGAUAAGGGCUUACGUUUUUUCUCUGAAAAGGUCAGUCAUCAUCCUAUGAUUGUUGCCUGUCAUUGUGAGGGUAAAGGUUGGAAAUUUUGGGCAGACUCUAAUCUCAAAGGCAAAUUUUGGGGUCGUUCUAUUCAGCUUGAUCCUGUGGGAAUUCUUACCCUUCAGUUCGAAGACGGUGAGACCUUUGAGUGGAGCAAGGUGACUACUUCUAUAUAUAAUAUUAUAAUUGGCAAAAUCUAUUGUGAUCAUUACGGCACCAUGCGAAUCAAAGGCAGUGGUAAUUACUCUUGCAAGCUCAAGUUCAAGGAGCAAUCUAUCAUUGACCGGAAUCCGCAUCAGGUUCAUGGAUUUGUGCAAGACAAUCGAACCGGAGAGAAAGUGGCAAUUUUGCUGGGGAAGUGGGACGAAGCAAUGUAUUAUGUGUUGGGAGAUCCAACUACAAAGCCAAAAGGGUAUGAUCCGAUGACAGAAGCUGUAUUGCUGUGGGAAAGGGAUAAAUCGGUUACCAAGACUAGAUACAACCUCACGCCAUUCGCCAUAUCUCUAAAUGAGUUGACGUCAGGGUUAAAGGAGAAGCUGCCACCAACAGACUCAAGACUGAGACCCGAUCAAAGACAUUUGGAGAAUGGAGAAUACGAAUUCGCAAAUGCAGAGAAACUAAGACUCGAACAGUUGCAGAGACAGGCUAGGAAAAUGCAAGAUCGAGGGUGGCAACCGAGGUGGUUCAAGAAGGAUGAGAAUGGCUGUUACAGGUACAUGGGAGGGUACUGGGAAGCAAGAGACGAACAUGACUGGGAUGGCAUUCCCGACAUAUUUGGGCAGCCUUGCGACUGCCCUCCACCAUCUACUGCCGAAGAUUAAGCUUUUCUCAGCUCAACACAAGGCAAAAAGAAGAUUAAUCCAAACCUCAAAUUAUGGUGCCAAUUCCAUCUGGAAAUGCUGUUGUAGUCUUCCACAGUGUUCUCACCCCAUCGGCGAGUUUGAGCUUGAGCUUGGCUUGGUGCGUCGAAUCUUGGCGCAAUGCGGCAGUGGAAGGGCCGGCAUUCGAACCAGCCGGCCGAGGCUGACGAUUCACGGGAUGUUUGGGCAUUAACUUCAUCACAACAUUUAUCUUCUUAUAGAAGCUAAUACUCCAAAA